ensembl:lncRNA
GGUUACCAUCCCGAUGUUUUUUAAGUACGUUUCGUACUUUCCUAUGGUGAUAAGAGGGCAAUGUUAGGUACCCGGAAAUAUCGACCAUCCACGGAACUGGAGCAUUCAGUCUUUAGCUCCCAGCGCACCGCCUGAUGUUACGAUGUGGAAUACCGACAGCAAAAACCCUAAAACCACAACAUGCACCUUGAGUGCUGCACUCAGUUUUGGGCAUCGGCUUUGAGAGGGUUCAUGGGUUGUGUUCAGAGAGGAGCGGUGGUGCUGGCAAAAGGAUUCAGAAGGAAGCUGUGCGGGGAGCAUCUGCGGGAGCUGGGAGACGAGAAGAGCCAAAGAACGUCAGCUGGCGUCAGUCCUAUUUGCAGUCCUGCACCCAGGCCUGGUCCCCCAGCACAAGAGAGACGUGGAGCUGUUGGAGCGCGUCCAGAGGGGGCCAUGAGGAUGCUCUGAGGGCUGGAGCAGCUCUCCACCAAAGAAAGGCUGAAAGAGCCGGGGACUUUCAUCCUGGAGAAGAGAAGGAUCUGGAGGACCGCACGGUGGCCUUGCACUCCUUCAAAAGAGCUGACAGACAGGAGGGAGAGAGACUCCGUACGUGGGAUGGUUGUUACAGGACCAAGGGGAAACCGAGGUGAGCUGUGAAGAGGGAAUUCUUUACAGAGGGCGGUGAGGCCGCGGCAGUGCUGCUCAGAGCACUGUGGGUGCCCCAUCCCCAGAGGUGCCCAAAGCCGUGGGGGGCCCUGGGCAGCCAGAGAAAGAGGGGCAGGCAGCCCACGGCAGGGGUGGGGCUGGAGGGGCUGUGAGGUUCCUUCCAACACCACAAUUUGACUUUAUGGUUCUAUGAUCCUUUUGAUCCCAUGCAACCCAUCCAUUUGUGCGUUAGCGUUCUAUGAUCUGUAAGGUCCUUUCAACGCCAACCGUGCAGUGAUUCUAUCCUUCUAUCACUCCGAUGUGGAGAGCCAACCCACCGCCCCUCAGUGACAGCAGUGGGACUGGGUGAGGAUGGGGACCAUGGCAAUAGCACCGGUGGGACUGGGAGGGGCACACGGGGACACUGCAUGGGGGGACGAUGCUGGGAAUGGGUGCCAGGACGGACAGAUGGCGCCUGGGGACAGCACUGAUGGCAAAAGGUCCUGGCUGGGACAGAGGCCACGUGCAGCUGGCAACAUCGCAAGCAGCCAACAGUGAGGACAAGGACCCAAAAGGAACGGCGGCACCAUCUGAUAGGGACAGCAGCGGUGUCCCCAAGGGCUGGCACUCAGCAUUGCUGCACUUGUUCUGUAAGGGGUCCGUGCUGAGGACCUGUGGGGCAGUGGGUCCCAGGGGGACAAAGGAACAGUGGGAGAUAAGGGAUGGACCCAGGAGACAGGGGUGUCCCCUCUCCCCACCUCACACACACCACUGCUGGCUCUUGGUGGCUGCUGCAAAGCGAGGCCAGAGGGCACCGUGAGCGUCCCCUGGGGACAGCCCCAUCGCCCCCAGUGUGCGUCCCACCCCGACAGGACGGGGGGUGUCUUUAUAAAACAGAGAUGCCACUCAGCUUCUGAAGGCGACCUCGGAUUUAGUUUUAUUUACCAAAGGUGCCAGGUGGUUUGAGAGAACCAGUAGGGACUGAAAGGGGUUGGAGCUUUGAGAACGUUUGAGAGCUUCCACAGCAAUUUCUGUCCAUUGGCCGUCCCUUGAGUCAAAAAAGGUUAUCUGUUCAGAACCCUUCUGUCACCUCUUUGAAUAUCCAACUCUGGCAAACCAUUUCUGACCACCACAGUGGGGGUGGGAGGGCUGGGAGGUCCCUUCCAACCCAACUCUGCGGUGAUUCCAUGGUGCUAUGAUCUUCAAGGUCCCUUCCAACCCAACUCUGCGGUGAUUCCAUGGUGCUGUGAUCUUCAAGGUCCCUUCCCCACCUC